rnacentral:rRNA from 1 species
AGUGAACGCUGGCGGUAGGCCUAACACAUGCAAGUCGAACGGCAGCACAGUAAGAGCUUGCUCUUACGGGUGGCGAGUGGCGGACGGGUGAGGAAUACAUCGGAAUCUACUUUUUCGUGGGGGAUAACGUAGGGAAACUUACGCUAAUACCGCAUACGACCUACGGGGGAAAGCAUGGGAUCUUCGGACCUUGCGCGAUUGAAUGAGCCGAUGACGGGUUAGCUAGUUGGCGGGGUAAAGGCCCACCAAGUCGACGAUCCGUAGCUGGUCUGAGAGGAUGAUCAGCCACACUGGAACUGAGACACGGUCCAGACUCCUACGGGAGGCAGCAGUGGGGAAUAUUGGACAAUGGGCGCAAGCAUGAUCCAGCCAUACCGCGUGGGUGAAGAAGGCCUUCGGGUUGUAAAGCCCUUUUGUUGGGAAAGAAAAGCAGCAGGUUAAUACCCCGCUGUUCUGACGGUACCCAAAGAAUAAGCACCGGCUAACUUCGUG